rnacentral:rRNA from 1 species
AAUGAACGUUGGCGGCGUGGAUUAGGCAUGCAAGUCGAGCGCUCACCCGCAAGGGUGGGAGCGGCGAAAGGGAGAGUAACGCGUGGGUAUCUACCCUCGGGACUGGGAUAGCUGCGGGAAACUGCAGGUAAUACCAGAUGACGUCCCCGGACCAAAGGUGUGAUUCCGCCUGAGGAUGAGCCCGCGUCCUAUUAGCUUGUUGGUGGGGUAAUGGCCUACCAAGGCAAUGAUGGGUACUGGGUGUGAGAGCACGACCCAGCGCACUGGGACUGAGACACUGCCCAGACACCUACGGGUGGCUGCAGUCGAGAAUCUUCGGCAAUGGGCGAAAGCCUGACCGAGCGACGCCGCGUGUGGGAUGAAGGCCUUCGGGUUGUAAACCGCUGUCAGAGGGGAGGAAUGGGCGGAGGGUAAUCUCUUCGUUUUGACCUAUCCUCAGAGGAAGUACGGGCUAAGUUCGUGCCAGCCGCCGCCGUAACAC